rnacentral:lncRNA from 1 species
AAAUCUGGCAUCGACCCUUUCUUUAAAAUCAGUCGUGCAAUUCAAUUCAACGAAUCACAUAAAACUUGGCUAACUAGAAAGUUAGACAAGCGUUAAGAAAACUUGCCUUUCAGCAUCUUCAGAUAAUUUAAUCGACUGACCAUAGCCUUUACAGAAUCUACAUGAUAUAUUCACAUAGCACACUGUAAUUAGCUAACAAACAAAUGUUCACAUUGUUCCUACCAACUUCUUUCUCUUCUAUAUUUUAGUUAACCUAAUAACUUUACUAAAGUCAACAUGACUCAUUACCCUUCAUCCCAGUUUAUUAAUCAACCAACGUUAUUAACCGAACUCGAGCAUUGUUGGCGAAGUACCAACACUGUUUACCGAUUAGGGUUCAUCAUUCAUAACCCAUUAACAUGCAUUCAAUCCCUAAGUUCAAUAUCAUAUACCUUAGUAUAGGUAGUAUAGGAAUAGCUUUAAUACACUUAUGAAGUGUACAAACAUUACCCCUAUAGGUCCCC